UGUAAUAAAGAAGGUGUGUUCCUAUUAUGGUUACUUUUUCGUCCUGAUUUGCGCAGGUCUCAACUGUCGGCCAUAUUUGAUUUAUGUGUGUGUAUUGGUGUACAUAUAUAGUUCAGUGUGUUUGUGUAUAUGGGGAAAGUCAUGAUAAGGUUAUUUUCAGUUAUUUUCACGUGUUUACAACAGUGCGAUCACUUUUAAGCCGUUGGAAUAUCAAAAAAAUUAAUGACAAUGCCGUUGUGUGCCAUGAAAGGGUGUAAAAACCGUUCUGGAAAAGGAAAAAGGAAUAUCCUUUUUCUUCUUUUCCAAAAAAAAGAGAAAUAUGUGAGAAGUGGAUACAGGCGUGUGGAAGGAAAAUUGGAGAAAUUAAGGAGAAGAAUGCUCGUGUAUGCUCAGCUCAUUUUGACGAGUUGUGCUACAGAAAGGUGUCCUUCGUAGACGAGUUAGCAGGAACACCAAGGAAUUCUCGGCCACUCAAUCGAGAUGCUGUACCGUAUACAUUUCCAGGGAACUGUGUGCCUGACGCUACAGACCUGAUGCCGAAAGCUAGAGUGACCUGUGAAGAUCCUGUGACAUUACUUGAUAUCGCUGUGAUGCCAAAUGCAAAGGAUACUCCUGCUCCAAUUUGCUCAAAUAUUGAAUGUAUUUCAGUAAAGAAGGCAUUAACCAUCGAAAAUCGCAACCUGCGCCAACAGUUGAAGCGGUGUAAUAGAUUGGCAGAAAGAAAAUGUCGUAAC